UACGGAGGGGGCUAGCGUUGUUCGGAAUUACUGGGCGUAAAGCGCGCGUAGGCGGAUUCUUAAGUCUGGGGCGAAAGCCCGGAGCUCAACUCCGGAACUGCCUUGGAUACUGGGAGUCUCGAGGAUGGAAGAGGUCAGUGGAAUGCCGAGUGUAGAGGUGAAAUUCGUAGAUAUUCGGCGGAACACCAGUGGCGAAGGCGACUGGCUGGUCCAUUUCUGACGUUGAGGCGCGAAAGUGUGGGGAGCAAACAGG
rnacentral:rRNA from 1 species